UACGUAGGCAGCAAGCGUUGUUCGGAGUUACUGGGCGUAAAGAGUGCGUAGGCGGUGUCGAAAGUUUGGCGUGAAAUCUCCCGGCUUAACUGGGAGGGUGCGCCGAAAACUGCGACGCUGGAGUGUGGGAAAGGCAAGCGGAAUUCCUGGUGUAGCGGUGAAAUGCGUAGAUAUCAGGAGGAACACCGGUGGCGAAGGCGGGUCUCUGGGCCGAUGACUGACGCUGGAGGAGCGAAAGUGUGGGGAGCGAACAGG
rnacentral:rRNA from 1 species